rnacentral:rRNA from 1 species
AGCUCAAAUUUGAAAUCUGGCUCUUUUAGAGUCCGAGUUGUAAUUUGCAGAGGGCGCUUUGGCUUUGGCAGCGGUCCAAGUUCCUUGGAACAGGACGUCACAGAGGGUGAGAAUCCCGUACGUGGUCGCUGGCUAUUGCCGUGUAAAGCCCCUUCGACGAGUCGAGUUGUUUGGGAAUGCAGCUCUAAAUGGGAGGUACAUUUCUUCUAAAGCUAAAUAUUGGCCAGAGACCGAUAGCGCACAAGUAGAGUGAUCGAAAGAUGAAAAGCACUUUGGAAAGAGAGUCAAACAGCACGUGAAAUUGUUGAAAGGGAAGCGCUUGCAGCCAGACUUGCUUACAGUUGCUCAUCCGGGUUUCUACCCGGUGCACUCUUCUGUAGGCAGGCCAGCAUCAGUUUGGGCGGUAGGAUAAAGGUCUCUGUCACGUACCUCCUUUCGGGGAGGCCUUAUAGGGGAGACGACAUACUACCAGCCUGGACUGAGGUCCGCGCAUCUGCUAGGAUGCUGGCGUAAUGGCUGUAAGCGGCCCGUCUUGAAACACGGACCAAGGAGUCUAACAUCUAUGCGAGUGUUUGGGUGUCAAGCCCGAGCGCGUAAUGAAAGUGAACGGAGGUGGGAACCCGCAAGGGUGCACCAUCGACCGAUCCUGAUGUCUUCGGAAGGAUUUGAGUAAGAGCAUGGCUGUUGGGACCCGAAAGAUGGUGAACUAUGCUUGAAUAGGGUGAAGCCAGAGGAAACUCUGGUGGAGGCUCGCAGCGGUUCUGACGUGCAAAUCGAUCGUCA